GGAUGCGAUCAUACCAGCACUCAAGCACCGGAUCCCAUCAGAACUCCGAAGUUAAGUGUGCUUGGGCGAGAGUAGUACUAGGAUGGGUGACCUCCUGGGAAGUCCUCGUGUUGCAUCCU
rnacentral:rRNA from 1 species